rnacentral:rRNA from 1 species
UGGGGAAUAUUGGACAAUGGGCGAAAGCCUGAUCCAGCCAUGCCGCGUGUGUGAAGAAGGUCUUCGGAUUGUAAAGCACUUUAAGUUGGGAGGAAGGGUACUUACCUAAUACGUGAGUAUUUUGACGUUACCGACAGAAUAAGCACCGGCUAACUCUGUGCCAGCAGCCGCGGUAAUACAGAGGGUGCAAGCGUUAAUCGGAAUUACUGGGCGUAAAGCGCGCGUAGGUGGUUUGUUAAGUUGGAUGUGAAAGCCCCGGGCUCAACCUGGGAACUGCAUCCAAAACUGGCAAGCUAGAGUAUGGUAGAGGGUGGUGGAAUUUCCUGUGUAGCGGUGAAAUGCGUAGAUAUAGGAAGGAACACCAGUGGCGAAGGCGGCGAUCUGGGUCGAUACUGACGCUGAGGUGCGAAAGCGUGGGGAGCAAACA